ensembl:lncRNA
AAAAAAUGUAGUCGAGCAGGAGCUCUGCUGGUGCACUUCCAGAUUUUUAAAGAUGUUGAAAGCAACCGGAUCCUCCAUGACACCAAUGACUGGCCAGACCUUUAGACAGUCAACUGAGGAACCUCUGAUCAUCCCUUUCCUGUGGCGGUCCUCAUGACAGCCUGUUUCAUCACAGAGCUUGAUGGUUUAUACGACUGCACUUGAAGAAAUGUUAAAAGUUCUUGACAUUUUCCGUAUUGACUGAUCUUCAUGUCUUAAAGUAAUGAUGGACUUUAGUUUCUCUUUUUUAGCUGUUCUUGCCAUAACAUGGACUACUACAGUACAAACAUAAUAAUGGUCUUCUGUGUACCAGCUCUACCUUGCCACAAUAUAACUGCUUUGCUCAGGCGAAUUAAGGAAAGGAUUUCAAGAAAAUAACUUUUUUCAAG